UACGAAGGGGGCUAGCGUUGCUCGGAAUCACUGGGCGUAAAGCGCACGUAGGCGGAUCUUUAAGUCAGGGGUGAAAUCCUGGAGCUCAACUCCAGAACUGCCUUUGAUACUGGGGAUCUCGAGUCCGGGAGAGGUGAGUGGAACUGCGAGUGUAGAGGUGAAAUUCGUAGAUAUUCGCAAGAACACCAGUGGCGAAGGCGGCUCACUGGCCCGGUAUUGACGCUGAGGUGCGAAAGCGUGGGGAGCAAACAGG
rnacentral:rRNA from 1 species